AAGGAUCAUUAACGAGACCAGCGGGGUGUGUCCGCCUGCGACUCGCCUACACCGGUGCGCUGCAUCGGUGGGAGUGCCGAGGACGUCAGUCGGGCAGAUCCCACUGGAUCCCAACCGUGUCUACCUGAGAAUGUUGCCUCGGCGGGCCGUACCGCCCGGCCCCUGGCUUGACGGCCAGCUGGGUUCGGGGGGUCGACCCGGGCUGCCCUCUAGCGGGGGGAGCCCGGCGCCUGUGUCCGCCCGAGGGACCUCCAACCUUUAACCAUGUGUGAAACGUCUGAGUAGCUAUUAAAUAGUUUUAAAACUUUCAACAACGGAUCUCUUGGUUCCA
rnacentral:misc_RNA from 1 species